rnacentral:rRNA from 1 species
UACGUAGGGUGCGAGCGUUAAUCGGAAUUACUGGGCGUAAAGCGUGCGCAGGCGGUGAUGUAAGACCGAUGUGAAAUCCCCGGGCUUAACCUGGGAACUGCAUUGGUGACUGCAUUGCUGGAGUAUGGCAGAGGGGGGUGGAAUUCCACGUGUAGCAGUGAAAUGCGUAGAGAUGUGGAGGAGCACCGAUGGCGAAGGCAGCCCCCUGGGCCAAUACUGACGCUCAUGCACGAAAGCGUGGGGAGCAAACAGG